rnacentral:rRNA from 2 species
CGGUAAGGUGAUAUGAACCGUUAUAACCGGCGAUACCCGAAUGGGGAAACCCAGUGUGACUCGUCACACUAUCAUUAACUGAAUCCAUAGGUUAAUGAGGCGAACCGGGGGAACUGAAACAUCUAAGUACCCCGAGGAAAAGAAAUCAACCGAGAUUCCCCCAGUAGCGGCGAGCGAACGGGGAGGAGCCCAGAGCCUGAAUCAGCAUGUGUGUUAGUGGAAGCGUCUGGAAAGGCGCGCGAUACAGGGUGACAGCCCCGUACACAAAAGCGCAUGUGCUGUGAGCUCGAUGAGUAGGGCGGGACACGUGGUAUCCUGUCUGAAUAUGGGGGGACCAUCCUCCAAGGCUAAAUACUCCUGACUGACCGAUAGUGAACCAGUACCGUGAGGGAAAGGCGAAAAGAACCCCGGCGAGGGGAGUGAAAAAGAACCUGAAACCGU